AUGUCCCCAUGUUCUGUUGCCGCGGAUGAUGUCUGCCCACUUCCUGUGUCACAUCAAGCCUCUGUGGGCACUCUGAAUUCCUCAAGUGUCCUCCAUAACGGUGCUCUCUCCCCUCGUUCACUGGGGUCUCCCUUAGUCCCCGUCCUUCUGCUCUCUCUCCUCUGCCCCUCUGUGUGCUGCAUCUCUAGAGGAAAUUAUGACAUCAUGUGGAAAAAGGAAGUCAGUCUUCCUGAGACACCUGACUUCCUGUAUUCCCAGGAUGCAAUUUUCCAUUGUUUAGCCCCUCUCUCUCACUCUUGCUCUCUCACCGUUUCUCCCCCUCCUUUUCUCUCCCUUUCUGCUUGGUGUGUGUGCGUGUGUGCGUGUGUGUGUGUGUGUGUGUGUGUGUGUGUGUGUGUUUGCAAAGACAGCUCUGUGACAGCUCACUUCCCGGUGUCCUAUCACUCCAGCUCCACUCUGAGACUGUUUCCUGUUUGGGGGGAGAUGGGAUUUCCUGCCUUGCACUGGACCAUAGGGACACGAGUUGGAGUCGGUGGGAGAGAGCGGGGAGGACGGGCGGGCGAGCGAGUAACACUGCAGGGAAAUGAGACGCAGGAACAGUUCAUUGGCCACGGAGCCCCACUUGUGGAGGGUUGUAACACCACCCCCCGCAGAUGGAGACUGCUGGUUGGUGCCCAUUCCGUACCAACACGCGCGCACACACACACACACACACACACACACUCCCUGAGGGAGCAUGCAGAGCUGGGUGUAGACAGUGGGCAGCAGUGGGGAGUGAGGAGGACCUACCUUGUCCCCGAGCCCCCACGCUCCUGCUUAUCGACAGGAGAUUGUUCAGGAAAAGGCGUGUCUGCCUCUGCCCAUCCAGCUGUAAAGAGCGCCACGCUGCUUCCUCUGGGCCACGGCCCUGUAGUGUCCUGUGCUUCCCGUGUGUUUGUGUGUGCGUACAGGAGCAGUGCUCUCUCUUGCCUCCACACUCCGACUAUUACUGCACCGGACUGCAGACUGUUCGACACUCUCCCUGCAGUCCGGUGGCUCGUCCGGCGAGCUGAACUAACACACUCCACUGGUUAA
rnacentral:lncRNA from 1 species